CUCCCAGAGGCCGCCACUUUCUUCAGGGCUAUCAGAUGAAGGCAGCAACGAAAACACCACCACAAGACCAACUUCAGGCUGGAGCUGAUGAUGCCACACAGCGAGAAAAAAGAAAAUAGACUCUACUUAGAAAUGAAACUCAACUAAAGGUAAAAGUUGUCAGGAACAUCUCCAAGAAAGCCAGAGUCAGCCUCUAAACUUUGCAUCAAGAACGCAAUGGCUUCCCUGAGGGCCCAGGGACGCGUGGCAGCUGUGAGGCAGCCCCUUCUCUGCUGUCGAGGAACUGGACACUUCUCCUGUCCCUUCCCACAAGAUAUAAAAGAUUCAGGACGUAGUGCUCGUGGUUGGGGUCGGGGACAUGGCAAGACAGGAGCGGAAGAGAGAGACGGAGAAGACGCAGGGGAACUGCAUCUGCCUCUGCUGCUCAGGAACAGCGUUGAGACCGGCGCAGGGACCAUGGGUGGGAGAGUCCUGAUGUACUCAAUGUAUAAUAUUAGGCAGAAACCCAAUAUAAAAAGAAAAGCAGAGUUGUUGUAGAUUCAUCGAGGGUUGGCGACCUGGUUCCAAUGAGCCAUCUCCCUGUUCCGACAGGGGCUUCCUGGAGCUCCUGCAACCCCAGGCAUUAGUUCCGGUGCAGUUCUAGGAUCAGAUCAAUUCACUCGACAACAAGAGAAACAAAUGGAGAUUCCUACACAAAGACUUUCAAGCACAAAGAAAUCCUGCUGCCUGUAAAGCGGAGCUGCCUCAGCCCUUGAUGAACGACAGAAAAUACCACCUACUGCCAGACCUCAACGCCUCACAAAACUCUCACCCACCUACUGCUUUUAGCUCACAUUCCAGGAAUUCAGAUGAAGUGAAGUGCUCUCAUGGGGACCAGGCAUGGUUAUGCCAGUCCACUGCCCUGCAAGCCUCAAGGGAAGCCAACUGCCCUUCAGCAAGUCACACCUGCCUUGGUGGAGGCCUUGAUUGGAAGUGCCACACGCUACAUGUCCAGUCCUGAGCGGGAGAAUCGGUGUAGGGACGUUCUGGGGAUGCCAGCUGUGGCCAGAUCAGGUCCAACUACAGAAGAAUAAUGAAGACUCCACCUGAGGGCUGGAAAAACAAAACCUCAAGUGUGAGGCAGCCAACCUGUUACCUCGAGGGACUGUUCCGCAGCACAGCGGGGCCAUGGGAACAGCAGCAGACACCCCGACCUCCUCGCUACCUGUAUCAACUAUGGCCUGAGUAUGAUAGACUUAUCCAUGGUUUAAACAGAAUAUAUUGUUUUCAACUUUGAAAAUAAGAAUAUGGAAAUCCAGAUGCAGAAAUGUGAGAAGAAAAGAGAGUAAACAGAGUGGAAGGUCAGGUGACCUUGCCUGUCAUGAAUAUGAAGGUCAAGGUGUGUGAAUUGUGAAAUUUCCAAGAGAACCUCACUGAAGCAAAGAAUGAAGAAAGAAUUGCAUUUGGCCCUGGGAGGGUGCAGGGGUGAAUGGUGCAGGAGCUAAAUCUUUAUCAUACCCAGAAAUCAACAGCCACUAUUUGAAAUCAUCUAAAUUCGUGCUGCUAACCUUCAGUGUACACACGAAUCACCUGGGGAUCUUACUAAAAGCUAGUUUCUGAUUCACUAAAUCUGUGUGUGGUGGAAGUUGAGGGCAGAGAAGCUCCCGAGGGUGUCAAGCUGACUCUGAACCCGACUUUGAGGGUUAAGGUCCCAAAUGGCAUCGCCAGCACCAGGGACAGACACUAAAAUUGUAGAAAUCGUCUCAAGAAAUGAACAGCCUCUAAGUCAGAUGUUGAAUGUGAAAGAAAUCAGGGUGUGUACGUGUGUGUGCAUUUGUGUGUGCACGUGUGUGCCUGUGUUUGUCUCUGUGCAUGUAUGUUUCUAUGUGUGCACAUGUGUGUAUGUGUCUGUACAUGUGUGUUUCUGUGUGUGUGCCUGUGUGUGUAUUGGCUUAGAUCUGUUCGAGACUUUUUAUUUGAUGAGAUCGAUAUAUGCCACCACUUUUGGAAAGGACAACGUAUAUACAAAGACAAUGAUUACUUAUGUAAUGUGAACGGAGUCUCUCUUCGACCCUCAAAUGUUUUGUAGAAAGUAAUGAUGAUGGUGAGGAUUAUAACAAUGCGUGUUUCCUGAAUAACAAAAAGGAGUUACAGUACACUUUUACCUAUUUUUCCAAAGCGCUAGGUCAAGUUUAGCUAAAGUCUGCUUGGAAUUAAUGAGGCUUGGAAAUGUAAAAUCUCAGAGCAGUAAACAUCUCUUUGUCCUAAUGUUCUUAUGUAGCCAUUAAAACUUAAAUAUUAAUACUAAAAUAACUACUGUAAAAUAAAGUAAAAAUGUACGAGAAUAAUCAAAAUAAUUCUGAAACACCCACAAAUGCUUUUGAAACUCCAUUUCUACACAGUGACAUAAAGAAAAAAUUUAGAUGUACCCAAGAAAUAAUGAAUAGUGAUUUUCCUUACGAAGUGCUGAUUUCUUUAAAAAUAAAUAGACAACAGGUUCUUUAAAUAACAAACAUCCUUAGCACAUGUGAGGUUCAAUUCAACUUAAAUUUCACCUACAUUUCUCAGGGACACACAUAAGUAAUUAUGAGCAUGUCUUCAGGGUCAACUCUGGAGAAAUGCUUUGUAAAGGGUCCAGCCAGUCGCUCAGGAGGGAUUUCUCAGGGGCACCAAACACUGGGAAGCAUCAGGAUGAUGAAUCCUGUGUUUCAUUUUACGUCCAAAUGCUCUUGCCUCAUGUGGCAUAGACAAUGGUAUUGUAUAUAACAGUUUCUCAGAACUGACUGCAUUUUAAAAGAAGGAGGAAAUUAUAAUUACUAAACCCUUGCAUAUGGGACUAUUUUUCAUAAAUCUGUUAAUCAUAAGGGUUCAAAUAAAAGCCAAAAAUGUAAUGAGCUCUUUCCCUUCUUGUACAUACAAGUUAUACUAAUAUAGGAAAUAAGCUGGGCCCAAUGAAAGCUACAACUUUAGAGUUUUAUAAAUUUGUUUCCACUUUUGUCUAUGACUCUGUGAUUGCAAUCUGCUGACAAUAAGAACGGAACUUCUUCCUAUGUUUUUAUGCACAUGAAACUCACCAUUAGAAACAUUCAUUAAGGUUUGAAUAAGGACAAAUCACAAGCAUUAAGAAGAGCUGUCAACCAUUUUAAACAGCCAUCAACUAAUUUUGGCAAAAACAGUCCCUUGAGAACUGUUUAUUUUUAAUACUUCAACUAGAAAUGGCUUUAACAUGACACCCUUCAGUGCCAGGUGUCAUUUCAGUCUGGACCUUCACUGGAUUGGCCACAUCUGCGUUAAUGUCAUGGUUAUUGGUGGCAUUGAGUAAGGGCCCUACCUAAAGAAAUCAGUAUCAAAGGUGCUGAAUAGUGCAAGCCACAUUUACUUUCUGCUAUACAAAUACUAUUUUAUAAUAUAAAUGCAAUAUAAGAUCAAUUACUAAAAUGUGCCAAGCAGUUAAAAUAUAUCUUAAUCUUAGUAAAGUUAUAUCAAUUUAAAGAUACAGGCUUUACAAUAAAAUGUCCCUUUUAAAGGUGGAAUCUCUUCUCCAACUUAAAUGUUCCCACUUUGGGGAAAGCAAUAAUCACUCACUGCCAUCUGUCAACACCCCACUCAUGCCAGAUAUUGUUCAAAUCUCAAUGUAAUGAUGCUAGAGCUGACCAUUAUUAUUCGUAGUAUGAAAAUUUUCUAAUGUCUAUUUUUUAAUGUGAAAUAAUGAUUACAUAUAAAAUAAAAGCAAUAUCCAGGCUCACCUUGGAGAUUGUGCAGGCUCAGUUCCAGGUCAUCCCAAUAAAGAGAUAUAGCAAUAACAUAAGUCACCCAAAUACUUUGGUUUCCCAAUGCAUACAAAAGUGAUAUUUACACUAUAAUGUGGUCUAUUAAGUACACAAUAGUAUUAUGUCUAAAAAAAGUAUAAACAUUAAUUUUAAAAUGUAUUGCUAAAAAUGCUAACAAUGCCUUCAGUGAGUCAUAAUCUUUUUGCUGGUGGAGGUCUCCUCCACGUAGAUGGCUGAUGAAUGAUCCGGGUGGUUGGGGUGGUGGUGGCAAUUUCUGAAAAUAAGACAAGAAUAAAGUCUGUUGCAUAGAUCGACUCUUUUUCUUUUUUCAUAGACGAUUUCUCGGUAGCAUGUGAUUCUGGUUGAUAUAAUUUUACCCAGAGUAGAACUUAUUUCAAAAUUGGAGUCCAUGCUCUCAAAACCCUGCCACUGCUUUAUCAACUAAGGUUAUAAAAUACUCUAAAUCCUUGGUGAUCAUUUCAACAAUGUUCACAGCAUCUUCACCAGAAGCACAUUCUACCCCAAGAAACCAGGUUCUCUGCACAUCCAUAAGAAGCAACCGAUCACCAGUUAAAGUUCUAUCAUGAGAUUGAAGCAAUUCAGUUCCAUCUUCAGGCUCCACUUCUAAUUCUAGUUCUCUUGCUAUUUUCAUAACAUCUGGUUACUUCUUCCAUUGAAGUCUUGAACCCCUCAAAAUCACCCAUGAAAGUUAGAACCAACUUCUUCCAAAGUCUUGUUCAUGUUGAUAUUUUGACCUCCUCACAUGAAUCAUAAAUGUUCUGAAUGGCAUCUAGAAUGGUGAAUUCUUUCCAGAAGGUUUUCAAUUUACUUUGCCCAGCUCCAUCAGAGGAACAACUAUCUAUGGUAGACAUGGCCUAGUAAAAUAUAUUUCUUAAAUAAUAAGACUUGAAAGUCAAAAUUGCUCCUUGAUCCAUGGACUGCAGAGUGGACGUUGUCUUAGUAGGCAUGAAAAAAAUGUCUGUCUUCUUGUACAUCCCCAUCAGAGCUCAUGAGGGACCAGGUGCAUUGUCAAUGAGCAUUAAUAGUUUGAAAGGAAUCUUUCUGUCUCAGCAGUAGAUCUCAACAGUAGGCUGAAAAUACUCACUAAACCAUGCUGUAAGCAGAAGAGCUGUCAUCAGGUGUGUCGUUUUAUUUAUAAAGCACAGGCAGAGCAGACUUAGCAUCAUUCUUACAGGCCCUGAGAUUUUGGGAAUGGUAAAUCUUCACAGGCUUCAACUUAAAGUCACCAACUCUGUUAACCCCUAACAAGAGAGGCAAUCUUUCCUUUAAGCUUUGAAGCCAGGCAUUGACUUCUCCUCCCUAGCUAUGAAAGUCCUAGAUGGCAUCUUCUUCCAAUAGAAGAUUGUUUUGUCCAUAUGAGAAAUCUGUUGUUUAGCAUCACUACCUUCAUCAGUGAUCUCAGCUGGAUCCUCUGGAGAACUUGCUGCAGCUUCUCCAUCAGCACUUGCUCCUUCACCUUGCACUUCUAUGUUAUAGAGAUGGUUUCUUGCUUCUUUCCUUAAACCUCAGGAAUAAACCUCUGCUAGUUCCACACCUUCCUUAUGCAGCUUCUUCACCUCUCUCAGCCUUCACAGAAAUGAAAAGAAUUAGAGGCCUUGCUCUGGAUGAGGCUUUGGCUGAAGGGAGUGUUGUGGCUGGUUUGAUCUUCUGUCCAGGCCACUCAAACUUUCCCCAUAGCAGUAAUCCGGCUGUUUUGCUUUCUUGCCAUUCAUGUGUUCACUGGAGUAGCACUCUCAAUCUCUUUCAAGAACUUUUCCUUGCACUCACAACUUAGCUAACUGGUGCAAGAAGCCCAGCUCUGAACCUAUCUUGGCUUUUGACCUGCCUUCCUCACUAAGCUUAAUCAUUUCUAGCUUAUGAUUUAAAGUGACAGACAUAAGACUCUUCCUUCCACCGAAAUAUUUAGAGGUCAUUGCAGGGUUAUCAAUUGGCCUAAUCUUAGGCUGGGUGUGGUAGCUCAUGCCUGUAACCCCAGCACUUUGGGAGGCAUAGGCGGGUGGAUUGCUUGACGUCAGGAGUUCGAAACCAGCCUGGCCAACAUAGUGAAACCCUGUCUCUACUAAAAAUACAAAAAUUGGUUGGGCAGGGUGGUACAUGCCUGUAAUCCCAGCUACUUGGGAGGCUGAUGUAGGAGAAUCACUUGAACCUGGGAGUUGGAGGUUGCAGUGAGCCAAGAUUGUGCCACUGCACUCUAUCCUGGAUGACAGAGCAAGACUCAGUCAAAAAAAAAAAAAAAAAAAAAAAAAAAAAAGAAAAAGAAAAAGAAAAGA